UGAAGCGGGAAAAGCUCAAAUUUAAAAUCUGGCAGUCUUUAAUGGGUCAGCAUCAAUUUUGAUCACUGGAAAAAGGUAGAGGGAAUGUGGCAUCUUAGGAUGUGUUAUAGCCCUCUAUUGUAUACAGUGGUUGGGAUUGAGGAUAUCAGCACGCCGUAAGGCUGGGUCAUUGACCACACUCGUGCUUAGGAUGCUGGCAUAAUGGCUUUAAUCGACCCGUCUUGAAACACGGACCAAGGAGUCUAACAUGCCUGCGAGUGUUUGGGUGGAAAACCCAAGCGCGUAAUGAAAGUGAAAGUUGAGAUCCCUGUCAUGGGGAGCAUCGACGCCCGGACCAGAACUUUUGGGACGGAUCUGCGGUAGAGCAUGUAUGUUGGGACCCGAAAGAUGGUGAACUAUGCCUGAAUAGGGCGAAGCCAGAGGAAACUCU
rnacentral:rRNA from 1 species